CCUACGGGCGGCAGCAGUAGGGAAUCUUCCACAAUGGGCGAACGCCUGAUGGAGCAACGCCGCGUGGGUGAAGAAGGUCUUCGGAUCGUAAAACCCUGUUGUUAGAGAAGAAAGUGCGUGAGAGUAACUGUUCACGUUUCGACGGUAUCUAACCAGAAAGCCACGGCUAACUACGUGCCAGCAGCCGCGGUAAUACGUAGGUGGCAAGCGUUAUCCGGAUUUAUUGGGCGUAAGGGGAACGCAGGCGGUCUUUUAAGUCUGAUGUGAAAGCUUUCGGCUUAACCGGAGUAGUGCAUUGGAAACUGGGAGACUUGAGUGCAGAAGAGGAGAGUGGAACGCCAUGUGUAGCGGUGAAAUGCGUAGAUAUAUGGAAGAACACCAGUGGCGAAAGCGGCUCUCUGGUCUGUAACUGACGCUGAGGUUCGAAAGCGUGGGUAGCAAACAGGAUUAGAUACCCCUGUAGUC
rnacentral:rRNA from 1 species